rnacentral:lncRNA from 1 species
UUGUCUUCUCAUAAGGCACAUCCCUCUUUAUAUAAUAACCAUAAACUUGCUUUCCAAGUUCAUUAAAUGAACUUUAAUGAGAUUUCAUUUCUACGUAAGAAAACUUUUUAUUCCUUUGCAAGUAACACAUCAUCUAAGUAAAACAACUUAGCUUAAUGGAAAAUGUCAUUUGUCUUCAACAAGAUAUUCUUUUUCUUUUUCUAAACCCAGCUUACACGCACAAUCAUAGUAGACAACCCCUUUUGUAAGCAAGUUCAUAACUCAAGUUCAUAAUUCACGAGCUACAUCAGAACAUUUCAGGAAAUUACAUCUUCAGUGAAAAUUGCCAAGGAGCUUGAUACGAUUCCUUAUCAGCCUUCGUCGAAACGCUUGCCAGUAUGACAAACUUUGACUUUUCUUUUAACUGAAAGAGACCGUAAAGUUAACUUGGAAAAGCUCCAUCUUCAUCACAUUAGAAAACUCUGCCUACAUUACAGAGAAACAAAGAUUGAUAUCCUUAAUAACAAAGAUAGAGGAUGACCAGCGAGAAGAAUAAAACCCAAAGAAGACAACUGGAAUGAAACAGAUUUAGAGAGAGAGAAGCUAAAAAAAAUCCAAUCAAAUAUCAGAACUUUAUUAAUCUCAAGCAAAAUCGAAGAAGAAGAAGACGAAGAAAGCAUGACGACACAGUUCCGAUUAGGUUGAAGAACACAAACGAAAACUCGCCCAACGUAGUAAAGCUCCAACAAAGAGGAAGACAAAAUCAAGAAAUAUGAUCGAAGAGUAUUUACAAAACAAAAAAAACUGAAUCGACAUCCUCCUUCUGAAAGAUUGAGAAUUGAUAAGGAGGCGUCAAAAGAGAGAAUUCUCUCUAAAGAAAUAGAGAGAAACUCUUUUAAUUUUAAUUUUAAUUUUAAUUUAUUUAUUUAGCGAUUCUGUUUUUUAUGGAUUCUUC